GUUAGACCCGGUGGCUACUGAGAAGUAUGGUGCCGCAGAGGCCAAAAACUUGAGUCACCCUUGUCAUCUCUUUGCCUUCCAAUCCCUGGGCCAAAGUUCUGUUGGCUGUACCUUUAGUACACAGAGUCCUACCACUACUACUGGCCACUACUGCUGCUGCUACCACCCUAGGCUAAGCCACCAACACUCGAUGAGAAGACUUCUGAGUUGCUAUUAAAUCUUCUGAGUUGCUUCUCCUAAAUCUCCCUAUUUUCACCCAGGUUCCCUAUAAUAUUGUAUACACAGUAUCCAGAGUGACCUUUAAAUAUGUCAGACCAUGGCUCAAACCCCUCAAUGGCUUCCCAAGUUUCCUACCAUGGCUUCCAAGAGUCCCCAGUUCCUAGCGCCUUGUACACUGUGCUCUAAUGCCCUGCUUUAGUCAAACUGCCAAGCUUGUUCCCUCCUCCCUCCCUCAAAUAUUUGCCUGCCUUAUUUCUGCUCUUAGCUCUAAGGAUUACUUCCUUAGAGACACCUUUUUAAAUUAUCAUAAAUAAAAGACUCACCACCCC